AUUCCAAUCGAACUCGGAGAUAGCUGGUUCUCCCCGAAAUAGCUUUAGGGCUAGCCUCAUGUUAGAUAUCCGGAGGUAAAGCACUGAAUGGCCUAGCGUCCGAGAGGAUAGCGAAGCCUAUCAAACUAAGAAUGCCGGAAUAUUGAUGCAUGGGAGUCAGACAGUGUGAGAUAAAUCUCAUUGUCAAAAGGGAAACAGCCCAGAUCUACAGCUAAGGUCCCAAAUUGUAUCUAAGUGGAAAACGAUGUGGAAAUACGCAGACAACCAGGAUGUUGGCUCAGAAGCAGCCACUCAUUUAAAGAGUGCGUAAUAGCUCACUGGUCGAGCGUCUCUGCGCGGAAAAUUUAACGGGGCUAAGAUACAAACCGAAGCUUAGGCUGCACUUUUAGUGCGGGGUAGGGGAGCGUUGUGUAAGCGGAGAAACAGUAGCGGAAGCGGCUGUGGAGUUUACAGAAGUGAGAAUGCCGGAAUGAGUAGCGCGAAUGAUGUGAGAAUCAUCAUGGCCGGAAACCUCAGGUUUUUGGAGGAAGGUUCGUCCGCUCCAAGUUAGGCGGGAGCUAAGGUGAGGCCGAAAGGCGUAGCCGAUGCACAGACGGUAGAGAUUCCGUCCCCACCGAAAGAUUUAAGCGCAGGGACACUUUUAGAAGGUCGGAGCCAGGUGUUGGUUCUGGUAGAGAUCGAGGGAAAUUUAGUACCGAAGUCCGGCUGGAUAAGAGGCGAGAAAAGCUGCGUGUAUAUCUAAGGUGCCCGUACCGCAAACCGACACAGGUAGGUAGGAAGAAGAUUCUAAGGCCAACGGGAGAAGGGUUGUUAAGGAACUCGGCAAAUUGACCCCGUAACUUCGGGAGAAGGGGUGCUGCAGCAAUGCAGCCGCAGAGAAUCGGCCCAAGCAACUGUUUACCAAAAACACAGGUUUGUGCUAAAUCGAAAGAUGACGUAUACGAGCUGACGCCUGCCCGGUGCUGGAAGGUUAAGAGGAGAUGUGCAAGCAUUGAAUCGAAGCCCCAGUGAACGGCGGCCGUAACUAUAACGGUCCUAAGGUAGCGAAAUUCCUUGUCAGGUAAGUUCUGACCCGCAUGAAAGGCGUAAUGAUUUGGGCACUGUCUCAACAGCCCGCCCGGCGAAAUUGUAGUACCGGUGAAGAUGCCGGUUACCCGCGACAAGACGGAAAGACCCCAUGGAGCUUUACUGUAGCCUAAUAUUGGGUUUCGAUGUUGCAUGCACAGGAUAGAUGGGACACUAGGAAGCAGGUGCUUUGGCGCUUGUGGAGUGGCCGUUGGGAUACCAUCCUUGCGAUAUUGGAAUUCUAACCUGCGCCUUUGAAUCAAGGCGGGGGACAUUGUUAGGUGGGCAGUUUGACUGGGGCGGUCGCCUCCUAAAGAGUAACGGAGGCGUUCAAAGGUUCGCUCAGCUUGAACGGAAAUCAAGCAAAAGAGUGCAAACGCAGAAGCGAGCCUAACUGCGAGACUGACGGGUCGAGCAGUAACGAAAGUUGGAGUUAGUGAUCCGGUGGUAUGUGAGUGGAAAUGCCAUCGCUCAACGGAUAAAAGUUACCCUGGGGAUAACAGGCUGAUCUCCCCCAAGAGUCCACAUCGACGGGGAGGUU
rnacentral:rRNA from 1 species